AGAGUUUGAUUCUGGCUCAGAAUCAACGCUGGCGGCGUGCCUAACACAUGCAAGUCGAGCGCGAAAGUGGGCUUCGGCCCGCGAGUAGAGCGGCGAACGGGUGAGUAACGCGUGGGUGAUCUGCCUCCGAGUGGGGAAUAACACCGGGAAACUGGUGCUAAUACCGCAUGACAUCCUCGAUUCACUUCGAGGAUCAAAGCUGGGGACCGCAAGGCCUGGCGCUUGGAGAGGAGCCCGCGUCCGAUUAGCUUGUUGGCGGGGUAACGGCCCACCAAGGCUUCGAUCGGUAGCCGGCCUGAGAGGGCGGACGGCCACACUGGGACUGAGACACGGCCCAGACUCCUACGGGAGGCAGCAGUGGGGAAUUUUGCGCAAUGGGGGAAACCCUGACGCAGCAACGCCGCGUGGAGGAUGAAGGCCCUCGGGUCGUAAACUCCUGUCGAUCGGGAAGAAGGCACUCGGGCUAAUACCCCGUUGUGUUGACUGUACCGGUGGAGGAAGCCACGGCUAACUCUGUGCCAGCAGCCGCGGUAAGACAGAGGUGGCAAGCGUUGUUCGGAAUUACUGGGCGUAAAGGGCGCGCAGGCGGUUCGUCAAGUCCCGUGUGAAAUCCCCCGGCUCAACUGGGGAACUGCGCGGGAAACUAGCGGGCUUGAGUUCGGGAGAGGGAAGCGGAAUUCCGGGUGUAGCGGUGAAAUGCGCAGAUAUCCGGAGGAACACCAGUGGCGAAGGCGGCUUCCUGGACCGAGACUGACGCUGAGGCGCGAAAGCCAGGGGAGCGAACGGGAUUAGAUACCCCGGUAGUCCUGGCCCUAAACGUUGAGCACUGGGUGUAGGGGGUGUAAACCCCCCCUGUGCCGAAGCUAACGCAUUAAGUGCUCCGCCUGGGGAGUACGGUCGCAAGGCUGAAACUCAAAUGAAUUGACGG
rnacentral:rRNA from 1 species